rnacentral:rRNA from 1 species
UACGUAGGGGGCAAGCGUUGUCCGGAUUUAUUGGGCGUAAAGAGCGUGUAGGCGGCCAGAUAGGUCCGUUGUGAAAACUCGAGGCUCAACCUCGAGACGCCGAUGGAGACCAUUUGGCUAGAGUCCGGAAGAGGAGAGUGGAAUUCCUGGUGUAGCGGUGAAAUGCGCAGAUAUCAGGAGGAACACCGAUGGCGAAGGCAGGUCUCUGGGCAUUAACUGACGCUGAGGAGCGAAAGCAUGGGGAGCGAACAGG